UCUCUCCCUGGAAGUUCCUUCUCUUACGCUGGCUCACUUGCUCUGGCCGCGAUGGGAUUUGGAACUCUAGUUUUGUUUGUUUAUCAAAACUAUGGUUUUUCCUCAGCUUGAUGACCACACCGGGCCGCAGUGUCACUGGGAUGGAGCUAAGCGAGCAGGCAGGCAGGAUCCACUUACAUUGUCCAAAGGAGGUGAAGCCAUUCAAGAGGCUUCACUCUCGUCAAGUGUCAACUCAAUGGUAAGCUUCGAGAUAUUUUUCCAUUCA